rnacentral:rRNA from 1 species
UACGAAGGGGGCUAGCGUUGUUCGGAAUCACUGGGCGUAAAGCGCACGCAGGCGGAUUGAUAAGUCAGGGGUGAAAUCCCGGAGCUCAACUCCGGAACUGCCUUUGAUACUCCCGCGCUUGAGAACUGGAGGGGACAUCGGGAUUCACGGUGGAGCAGUGAAAUGCGUGGAUAUCGUGAGGAACACUAGUGGCGAAGGCGGAUGUCUGGACAGUAUCUGACGCUGAGGCACGAAGGCCAGGGGAGCGAACGGG